rnacentral:rRNA from 1 species
GAGUUUGAUCGUGGCUCAGGACGAACGCUGGCGGCGUGCUUAACACAUGCAAGUCGCACGGGGUAGCAAUACCCAGUGGCGAACGGUGCGUAACACGUGAGGAACCUGUCCAACGGCGGGGGAUAGCCGGCCCAACGGCCGGGUAAUACCGCGUACGACCUUCGAGGGGCAUCCCUUGAUGGUGAAAGCAGCAAUGCGCCGAUGGAGGGCCUCGCGGCCUAUCAGCUAGUUGGUGAGGUAACGGCUCACCAAGGCGACGACGGGUAGCUGGUCCGAGAGGAUGACCAGCCACAUUGGGACUGAGACACGGCCCAGACUCCUACGGGAGGCAGCAGUGGGGAAUAUUGCGCAAUGGGCGAAAGCCUGACGCAGCGACGCCGCGUGUGGGAUGACGGCC